ensembl:lncRNA
GUCCCUAAACUUGUUCCAGCUCCCUCAUUGGACAUUGGAGCUGUCCAUGCAGAGAGGCAGCAGGUGAUCUUACAGUCAGCUGGCUGCAGAGCUGGCAGGUCUGCUGGCUCUCUCUCUGGAGGACAGGAGGCUGCUGGAGCUGGAACCUCUGAAACAGAAAAGGAGUCAAAUGUUUGGAGCUGCAGUGAGAAAUGUCAGUCCUCUGCUCCUCUGCUCUCUUUGACAGCAUCUCCACAUGAAGCUGAAUCACUGCUGAACACAGCCACCAAGCCUUCAUUACCUUGUUGUGUUUGGGCCUCCACUGUGCCCCCCUCGUGCUUCACCCAGCAGCUGUACAUGUAUGUGAAGAGAUCAUCACGAUCAACCAUCCUGAUGGCAAUGGUGCGUCCCGACUCUCUGAGCUCCAGCUGCUCUCCCUCAGCAGGGGGCAGCUCCUCCGGUUCUCCGCCGUUCUUCUUCUGUCUUUUCCAGGAGAACUGGACCAGAGGAGGAAACAUGGCUGAGGCCACACACAGCAGGGAGCUGUUCCCCUCCAGGUGGGCUCUGGAUGCUGCUGGGUACACACUCACCACGGGCUUCACUACCUGCUCAUCUGAAGUUUGACAGCAGCAACAAGCAGCACAGACACACAUUCACACAGUCAGCAGCAGCUUCCAGCACUGCACUGCAUUCAGUCUGAUCCUGGAAACUACAUGGACUCUGAUCACUAAACUACUCAUCAAUACAGCACAAAGUUCACUACAUACACUGGAUUCAGCUUCAUAUCAAACACAGUCAUCACCUCAUGUCAUCAUGGCUCACAUGUGGAAGAAAUGAAAUGAAAACUAAACAUAACUUUAUUUCCCCAAUGUUUCAUUUUAUUUUUUUUAAUAAUAUAUUAAGACAUUUUAAAACAAUAGUGAUCAAACCUCAUAAAAAGGAAGUAGUGAUUUGCAUUUUAUAUUAGACAAACUUCCCCACAAUGAUGCAAGUUAUCAUCAUGCAUGUUAAAUAUGUACUUAUAGUGUCGAUAAUGGGACUUUGCUUUUCUAAAACACAUUUUAAAUAUAGCUUCAAUAAAAGGUUCAUUUAGUUUCAGUGUUUUAAAUAUUGUAUUAUAUUUUGAUUGUAUGAGAUUUGAUCAUAUGAAUUUCAUAAUAUGUCCACUUUCUGAUACACAAUAUUUACUGACACAUAGUUUAAAAAUUAGGUCGUACAAAUAAAUCUGGUUUUAUGCCAGACCUCCAUAAUCUCAAUUUACACAUGCUUUAUCACACAUAUUAUUUUAAUAAAACCUUUGAUUCUAUUAUUCUUUAAUAGCUCUUUACAUUAGAAUCAUCAAUUUAAACUCUUAUUACAUGCCCCUCUAUUUAAAAAUAUAAAAAUAGAAACACAAAUUUAAUAAAACAUUUCAUGCUAUGCAGUAUUCUAUGAUUCAUUACAUCACAUUACAUUAUACAUGACUUGUAUUGAAAUUUUAUUUGUACUUACCAUAAUUAAUCUUUAAAAAUAUUUUAAUUAAGUUAGUGAAAAAUACUUUUUUUCCCUUCAACAAAGGUAAUGUUAACAUUUUUCACAAAACAUUUACAAAAGAUUUAAUUAUUUUUAAAUGAAAUCACAUUUUUAUGUAACAAUGGCUGCAGAUGAAUUCUCUACUAAUGAUGACAAAACUAACAUGUAAAGCCUGAAGCAGCAGAAACUGACUUUAAACACAUUUUCAACUUCUACAAUAAAACGACUGAAGGAAAAUAAAUGUUUGUUCUUACCUGUUACAGACAGUUUAGUUCCAGAGCCAAAGAUGAGGUGACCGUAGUAGUACCAGUACUCCCAAUCCUCCCACAGUGAGACAGACUGCUACAAAAAGCUCUUUGCUGUUGAAUGUUUCUGCUGAGAUGAGUGAAUCCAAAUGAGAAGGAAUGAUCAUAUUUCAGCUCCAUGAUGCUCAGUUUCAGUGUAAUGUGAAACAUGUGUAAGUUAACAACUGGUUGAUAUGUAUUUGAUGAGAAAAAUAAAUCACUCAACAUCUGAACUAAAGCAACAUGAAUUACUCAUAUGCACAGAGUGGAGGAUGUUCUCUAUUCAGCAUGUUGCACAUGAGAAAUCUGACAGUUGUAAGCAGCAGUCAGGUGUCAGGUGUUGCAGCAGAGGAGUCUGAUGGCUUGGGAAUAAAAAAGUACUUAUUCUUCCUGAGCCUCAUUAGGAUGUAUAAAUGCUGAUGAGCCUUCCUGACCACAACAUCUGAAAAGUCCAGAAAAGAGCCUCAGUGAAGGUCAGACCUUACACUGGGGAAGUGCAACUAGCCAAUACAAACAUUUUUGAUGUAUCUGUCCCAAAUUACAGAUUCUUAUUCAAUGACCAGCGAAAACGUUUAAGGCUUUUAAUAGUUUUUGAGAUGUUCAUGUUCAGAUGUGAAAAAAUGACAAUUUCUCAAAAAAGAAAUAUAUGUUAAAAAAUACUUGAGAUAUGAAGCUAAAAUUGCCCCCCGGAAUACACACUCAAUGUUUUUCCAUACACCACAACCAAAGCACGUCUCUUAAAAAAACUGUAACAUUGCAACGGAAAAAGUGAACAUAUCACAAUAAAAUCCCCUUAAGGAUCAUUACAAUUCUAUAUAAUAGAAUAUACACACAUACACUCUAAACCUAAUGGAAGCAUUUAACCUAUAUAGUCAGGCCAAUUAUUAUUCACAUGUAUAAGGGGUGGCAUAACCUACCCACUGGCACAAAUCACCACACUUUCCCCUGCGUCAUUUC